AAUAUUACUGUUUGGAGCUGUCCUAGUCAAACAUUACACUAAAUUAUUGGCAUUGAUAUUAGUUUUCAUUUCAUCAUGUGAUUUACAGCUAAAAGCAAUACUGGUGUUGUAUUGCACUUUGGGUGCCAAUUAUUUUUAUAUGGAUUAUACAAUAUUUACAAUAAUAUUUACAAUGAAAUUUCUUGUCUUUUGUUUUAGAGGUGUGCCUUUUUUGGUUAGGUCUCGACUCACCUGCUUUAAAUCUACUGUGCCUUUUUAGUUCUAUUUCAUGGAUGCCCAGAUCAGGAUAUACUAUAUUCUCAACUUUAGUUGGAGGUAUAUGUGGCGCAUUUUGUCGAAUGGGAGAGGUCAGUGGUUCUUUUUUAUUUUUAAUCUCGAUGAUAUUAACUAUAUACAGUUUCCACUUCAUUUAUUAUACAACUUGAUGGUAUUCUUCACUUGUGAUUGUGAAUCUUCUAAUUCUUUACUGUGUUAUUGAAAUCAGUUUAUGUGGAUUCCUCUGUAUUGCUUAUUUCUCUCACAUUGCCAUAUGUGAAUGUUCUGGGAAAUGGAUAUGUUCCUUGUUCCGUAUCUAGCUGAUUGUGACUUGGAGUUAGUUCAGUGGCCUCCAUUUUUGCUUGCUUGCAAGGUUUUCAUUAUAUUUUUUAAGUCAUAACUCUUCCUUUUGUUAAAGGGAGAUUUUGGUUAAUUCCAUUUAAUCCCUAUGUUAACCAUCAAAUCAAAGCAAAUUCACCUUUUCUUUGCCUACCUUUGGCCUCACAAAUGUUUGAAGACAUGGUUUAUGGCUUUGAAUUGGUGGUUAACAGAGGGAUUAAAGGAAGUUGAUAAAAAAAAAAAAAAAAAUGCUAGAAUAUAACUGAAUCACCGGCAAUUUGGUUAUCUUGAACUAUGAAUUAAUCUCAUUCAUUCUUGCUUCAUUUUUUUUUUCUCUCUUGUUUGCAUCACUCCUUGUGGGUUAUGUUGUGUAAUUAGGGGUGUUGAGGUAUACUUAUUUUUUGGUCGUGUUUUAUUUGACUUAACAAGCUUGAGUGGCUCAUAUUUGUAAUGAUGACUUGUUACUAUAUACGGAACUUAGAAACUGUUCAUCUUUUUAAUUGUUUUAGACAAUGUUUGACUAUCCUUCUUGCAGGUCAAAGUAAAUUUUAGCCUGGUUCGGAGAAAGAAUAAGGGAAAUUAUUCCGAGCUUCAUCUAUGGCCACAUGUAUAAAGUUCAGGAUUAUGUUCUUAUUCGAUUUGACUAUGAUAGUUGAUCCCUUCAAAGCAUCAUGUUAGAAAUUUAUCGAGCAUUUAUGAGAUUUUUGGGUACAAUAAUUUAUUUGAUAAUUUACUAUUGAUUUUUUCCCUUUUUGACAGUUCGUUAAUUUGGUUUAGUUUGUAUUUGUUUUGGUUUUGGAGAUAACCAAGUUUGUAAAUAAUACCUUGGUCUAUAUCUAUCUGGUUGACG
rnacentral:lncRNA from 1 species